GACGAACGCUGGCGGCGUGCUUAACACAUGCAAGUCGAGCGGAAAGGCCCUUCGGGGUACUCGAGCGGCGAACGGGUGAGUAACACGUGAGUAACCUGCCCUAGGCUUUGGGAUAACCCCGGGAAACCGGGGCUAAUACCGGAUAUGACCUGGUGCCGCAUGGUGUUGGGUGGAAAGUUUUUUCGGCCUGGGAUGGGCUCGCGGCCUAUCAGCUUGUUGGUGGGGUGAUGGCCUACCAAGGCGAUGACGGGUAGCCGGCCUGAGAGGGCGACCGGCCACACUGGGACUGAGACACGGCCCAGACUCCUACGGGAGGCAGCAGUGGGGAAUAUUGUACAAUGGGCGGAAGCCUGAUGCAGCGACGCCGUGUGAGGGAUGAAGGCCUUCGGGUUGUAAACCUCUUUCAGCAGGGACGAAGCGUGAGUGACGGUACCUGCAGAAGAAGCGCCGGCCAACUACGUG
rnacentral:rRNA from 1 species